rnacentral:rRNA from 1 species
UACGUAGGGGGCAAGCGUUGUCCGGAAUCAUUGGGCGUAAAGAGCGCGUAGGCGGUCCGGUAAGUCCGCUGUGAAAGUCAAGGGCUCAACCCUUGAAUGCCGGUGGAUACUGUCGGGCUAGAGUCCGGAAGAGGCGAGUGGAAUUCCCGGUGUAGCGGUGAAAUGCGCAGAUAUCGGGAGGAACACCAAUUGCGAAGGCAGCUCGCUGGGACGUUACUGACGCUGAGACGCGAAAGCGUGGGGAGCAAACAGG